rnacentral:rRNA from 1 species
CCUACGGGCGGCAGCAGUGGGGGAUAUUGCACAAUGGGGGAAACCCUGAUGCCGCGCCGCCGCGUGGGUGAAGAAGCGCCUCGGCGCGUAAAGCCCUGUCAGCAGGGAAGAAAAUGACGGUACCUGAAGAAGAAGCCCCGGCUAACUACGUGCCAGCAGCCGCGGUAAUACGUAGGGGGCAAGCGUUAUCCGGAUUUACUGGGUGUAAAGGGGGCGCAGACGGCGAUGCAAGCAAGGAGUGAAAGCCCGGGGCCCAACCCCGGGACUGCACUUGGAACUGCGUGGCUAGAGUGCAGGAGGGGCAGGCGGAAUUCCUGGUGUAGCGGUGAAAUGCGUAGAUAUCAGGAGGAACACCGGUGGCGAAGGCGGCCUGCUGGACUGCAACUGACGUUGAGGCCCGAAAGCGUGGGGAGCAAACAGGAUUAGAUACCCCAGUAGUC